UAAUACAGAGGGUGCAAGCGUUGUUCGGAAUUACUGGGCGUAAAGCGUGCGUAGUCGGUAUUGAGAGUCGCGGGUGAAAUCCCAGGGCUUAACCCUGGAACUGCCUGCGAGACCUCAGUACUAGAGUGUGAGAGGGGAUAGUGGAAUACCCAGUGUAGCGGUGAAAUGCGUAGAGAUUGGGUAGAACACCGGUGGCGAAGGCGGCUAUCUGGCUCACAACUGACGAUCAGGCACGAAAGCGUGGGGAGCAAACAGG
rnacentral:rRNA from 1 species